rnacentral:rRNA from 1 species
AGAGUUUGAUCCUGGCUCAGGAUGAACGCUGGCGGCGUGCUUAACACAUGCAAGUCGAACGAAGCACCUUGAUUUGAUUCUUCGGAUGAAGAUCUUGGUGACUGAGUGGCGGACGGGUGAGUAACGCGUGGGUAACCUGCCUCAUACAGGGGGAUAACAGUUAGAAAUGACUGCUAAUACCGCAUAAGACCACAGCACCGCAUGGUGCAGGGGUAAAAACUCCGGUGGUAUGAGAUGGACCCGCGUCUGAUUAGGUAGUUGGUGGGGUAACGGCCUACCAAGCCGACGAUCAGUAGCCGACCUGAGAGGGUGACCGGCCAUAUUGGGACUGAGACACGGCCCAAACUCCUACGGGAGGCAGCAGUGGGGAAUAUUGCACAAUGGGGGAAACCCUGAUGCAGCGACGCCGCGUGGGCGAUGAAGUAUUUCGGUAUGUAAAGCUCUAUCAGCAGGGAAGAAAAUGACGGUACCUGACUAAGAAGCACCGGCUAAAUACGUGCCAGCAGCCGCGGUAAUACGUAUGGUGGCAAGCGUUGUCCGGAUUUACUGGGUGUAAAGGGCGUGCAGCCGGGUCUGCAAGUCAGAUGUGAAAUCCAUGGGCUCAACCCAUGAACUGCAUUUGAAACUGUAGAUCUUGAGUGUCGGAGGGGCAAUCGGAAUUCCUAGUGUAGCGGUGAAAUGCGUAGAUAUUAGGAGGAACACCAGUGGCGAAGGCGGAUUGCUGGACGAUAACUGACGGUGAGGCGCGAAAGUGUGGGGAGCAAACAGGAUUAGAUACCCUGGUAGUCCACACUGUAAACGAUGAAUACUAGGUGUGCGGGGACUGACCCCCUGCGUGCCGCAGUAAACACAAUAAGUAUUCCACCUGGGGAGUACGAUCGCAAGGUUGAAACUCAAAGGAAUUGACGGGGGCCCGCACAAGCGGUGGAUUAUGUGGUUUAAUUCGAAGCAACGCGAAGAACCUUACCAGGGUUUGACAUCCUGCUAACGAAGUAGAGAUACAUUAGGUGCCCUUCGGGGAAAGCAGAGACAGGUGGUGCAUGGUUGUCGUCAGCUCGUGUCGUGAGAUGUUGGGUUAAGUCCCGCAACGAGCGCAACCCCUAUUGUUAGUUGCUACGCAAGAGCACUCUAGCGAGACUGCCGUUGACAAAACGGAGGAAGGUGGGGACGACGUCAAAUCAUCAUGCCCCUUAUAUCCUGGGCUACACACGUAAUACAAUGGCGGUCAACAGAGGGAGGCAAAGCCGCGAGGCAGAGCAAACCCCCAAAAGCCGUCCCAGUUCGGAUUGUAGGCUGCAACUCGCCUGCAUGAAGUCGGAAUCGCUAGUAAUCGCGGAUCAGCAUGCCGCGGUGAAUACGUUCCCGGGCCUUGUACACACCGCCCGUCACACCAUGAGAGUCGGGAACACCCGAAGUCCGUAGCCUAACCAGCAAUGAAGGGCGCGGCCGAAGGUGGGUUCGAUAAUUGGGGUGAAGUCGUAACAAGGUA